rnacentral:rRNA from 1 species
UACGGGGGGAGCAAGCGUUGUUCGGAUUUACUGGGCGUAAAGGGCGCGUAGGCGGUCGUGACAAGUCACUUGUGAAAUCUCCGGGCUUAACUCGGAACGGUCAAGUGAUACUGUCGGACUAGAGUACAGAAGGGGCAACUGGAAUUCUCGGUGUAGCGGUGAAAUGCGUAGAUAUCGAGAGGAACACCGGUGGCGAAGGCGGGUCUCUGGGCAACAACUGACGCUGAGGAGCGAAAGCGUGGGGAGCGAACAGG